UACAGAGGAGCCAAGCGUUGUCCGGAUUGACUGGGCGUAAAGCGCACGCAGGCGGUUGCGCGCGUGGGGUGUGAAAUCUGGCCGCUUAACGGCCAGGCGCCAUCCCAUACGGCGCGACUGGAGUGAUGCAGAGGUCGAUGGAAUUGCCGGUGUAGUGGUGAAAUGCGUAGAGAUCGGGCAGGAACACCCAGGGGGAAACCAGUCGACUGGGCAUCUACUGACGCUGAGGUGCGAGAGCGUGGGGAGCAAACAGG
rnacentral:rRNA from 1 species